GGCCCUGUAGCUUAAUUGGUUAGAGUCCCGGACUGUCGAUCCGGAGGUUGCGGGUUCGAGUCCCGUCGGGGUCG
rnacentral:tRNA from 1 species